UACGUAGGGGGGCAAGCGUUGUCCGGAUUUAUUGGGCGUAAAGAGCGUGUAGGCGGCCAAGCAGGUCCGCUGUGAAAAACUCGAGGCUCAACCUCGAGACGUCGGUGGAAACCGUUUUGGCUAGAGUCCGGAAGAGGAGAGUGGAAUUCCUGGUGUAGCGGUGAAAUGCGCAGAUAUCAGGAAGAACACCUAUGGCGAAGGCAGCUCUCUGGGACGGUACUGACGCUGAGACGCGAAAGCGUGGGGAGCGAACAGG
rnacentral:rRNA from 1 species